rnacentral:rRNA from 1 species
GUGCCAGCAGCAGCGGCGGUAAUACGUAGGGUGCAAGCGUUAAUCGGAAUUACUGGGCGUAAAGCGUGCGCAGGCGGUUUUGUAAGACAGGCGUGAAAUCCCCGGGCUCAACCUGGGAAUUGCGCUUGUGACUGCAAAGCUGGAGUGCGGCAGAGGGGGAUGGAAUUCCGCGUGUAGCAGGGAAAUGCGUCGAUAUGCGGAGGAACACCGAUGGCGAAGGCAAUCCCAUGGGCCUGCACUGACGCGCGUGCACGAUAGCGGGGGGAGCAAACAGGACUAGAUACCCUGGUAGUCAUCGCCC